UUUGAAUUUUUUCAGUGUUCAAACAACAUUCUGCACCACAUAAACAACAGUUUUCAACAUAAAAUUAACAAUAGACCUCUUUCACGGUGCGGAUAGCAGGAUUCAUGUAGUCCGGCAACGGCGCAAUCCUCCAUUGUUUUUCCAACCCCACCCUGUUUUGCUGGGAUUUUAAUAGGGAAACAAGUUUAGCAUUAAAAAUUCUCCUCUCAGUGAAAUUUUCCUGUGUUUCAGUGCAUUGGAUAACUAGCACCAUCAUCUGGGGCUAUCCAAAUGUAAACAAGAAAAUUCAAAACAACACUAAAUGGUAAUAAAGUGAAACGCGUAUAUUUUCUACCCGAGUUUCUGAAAUUUUAGGGGGUUAUUUGGUGUUCCGUGCACCGCUACAUCCCAGUGGGAUGUAGCUUCCGGCCCUCUGAUUGGCUCUCUCCACGGCAUCCACAAUCCAAAAUUCAAAAUACCCUUAUUUUCUCUCUAUUUAAAAUUAAUUUUACCGGGAAUAGACUUUCAGCGGAUGCUAAGUUGCACCAUCUCACAAUUCAGCCCAAUCCCAUGUGGUGUUUUAGUCCCAUAAGGCCCUCUUGAGAAAAAGUGUUUUUUAAUCUUAGCAUUAUUAAUAGAGCACAUUUUUGCUUAAAUGUAAUUUUAAUAUGUAGCCUGAAUUUAUUACGAUUUUAUAAAAGAAACUAAAACAACCA